rnacentral:lncRNA from 1 species
UCCAUGCCACAGGGCAUAUCCAGCAGUACCACCUCCACCAGAUCGGUGUUUUCUGAAGGUAGCCGGAGGGAAGAACCGGAAUGAGCCUUGUUGCAUUGGAAAUGGUAGACAGAAGUUGCAGGGGGCAUGAUGAGGUCUUACCGGUCGGGGGAUGAUGAACCCGGAGAAGAGGUUCCAGAUGGCGUAGAAUGCGGAGGAGACGAUCGAGGCGAUGUGAUAGUUAGGUGUCAGCCCGACAGCCAUCAUGCCGUAGAAUGUGAAGUAGAGCAGUGUGAAGUACCCAAAGAAGAGGUACCAGAAGAACUUGGCAGCUGUCCACUCAAACCCGAUCAUGGAGUACACUAUGACACCGUAUAGAAUAUCCUGAACCAAUGCGUAUGGGAGCUCAAUGACAACCUGUGAGGAGAUAAAUUGCUCAGCUCAGUGCCCUGCUCUCUGAAUAUGGGCCAACAGGCAACAAACAGCAGAAAAAGCCACGUGUGAAAUUGAUUCCAGGAGGAACGUUCACCUGGCCAAAGGCAUAAGGGAAAGCAGAGUACAUGCCAGCAGCUCUUUCGCGGUAAAAGACUGUCCGCUCCACGGCCACCACUGGCUGAACUGAGGUACAAUUCAUGAUCCCGAUGAACAGAACCGCAGAGUACAUUGAUCCCAAGGCAUUCAUCAAAUCUUGUGAUGUGGACCUGGAUUAAGAAGAAAAACAUGAAUAAAAAACUGAAGGUCAAGCCACAUUUGCAAUAAGUAAUGGUACAAUUUGGCGUGACUUACACUUUGCCACCUAGGUCCCAAAAGAUGGUGCCAAGGAGGAGAGCAAUGAUGGUAGUGAAAAAGAACCUAACGGUAUUGUAAGGAGGAUUCCGCCAGUAUGACAGGUUCUGUUUCCACAGGCAAGCCACACAUUGUGUAAUGGAAGACUGUGCAUACGUGCUAGCGAAAUGCAGGUCACUUGAACCUGGCACCGGUUGGCUUAAUUCCUUUAUCAACACCUUGUUCCUCCUGCAAAAUGUAACAAGCAACACAUCAUCUACUGCAGAAAUUCCCUGGAGAAGGAAGGUUGGUUAAUACUGAAAAGUGCAAAGCGCAUUAGUAUCUACCAAACGGAAGUAUUCUCAAAGAUGAAGUAAGUGACUAGUAGGGAUUGUAAUUUACUUACUGGUAGAGUUCAGAUUUCUUGUAUAUGUCACUGAAAUCAACACCUAGAAUCUGUUCCUGAGAAGUUGCGGUCACUUCCAGCAUCCAUGUUGCUGGAUUGUAGCCAUCUUUAAUUUUGCUGACCCCUUGGAUCCCCUGGAUAAUAUGAAACCACAUGAUAUUCUCAGUAAUUUCCAAGAAAUUUCGUAGAUGGAUAGUCAGAUUCCUCUAAUAAUAUUUACCUCGAAAUACUUGAUAAGAUCUGAAGAAUGAUGUCCAAGUGGACCAGCAUAGAUCUCUUCUCCACCACGCUUCAUAAGGAAAAGCUGCACGCAUUGAUCAAACAUUUUAGACUUUGCAAGUUGCAACAUAAACAACCAGAAUUUUCUACUUCUCCUAGUGAUGUGGGCUUCUUCAAGUGUUUUAUCAUUCAAAAUUUAGAACAAACUUUCCCUACUAAAUGUCUCCUAGUGAGAAUCGCAUGUGCUAUGACGAGUGAUAGUGUUUUACUACUAUUUAAAAACACUAGGAGAAUUCCAACUUUUUGGUUGGGAUAGUUCAAGGAUGGGAAAACCAGCCACAGCAAAACAAGUAAUCCUAUGUGAAAUCUCACUCACCUCAUCAAAUGCUUCAAAUAUGUCAAUGCUAGGCUGAUGUAUCGUGCAGACCACAGUUCUACCGGUAUCAACAGUGUUCCUCACCGUCCGCAUCACAAUUGCAGCUGCUCGGGCAUCAAGCCCUGAGGUUGGCUCAUCCAUAAAGAUGAUUGAUGGAUUUGCAACAAGUUCCACAGCAAUGGUAAGCCUUUUCCGCUGCUCAGUUGACAGACCAUUCACUCCAGGAAGUCCAACCAAAGCAUUUCUCAGUGGUGUGAGCUCCACAAGCUCCAUCACCUCCUCAAUGAAGAUCUGCACAUAUAAUGGUGAGCAACUAUCUACCAAGUGUAUCAUUCCAUGAGUGGAAAUUGCAACUAUUUUGUGGAACUAACCUUUCUUUUGUUCGAAUCGACGUCCUUGGGAAGCCGGAGCCAUGCUGAGAAAAGCAAGGAUUCAUAGACUGUCACCUGCGGCGAGUGGAUAUCAUUUUGUUCACAGUAUCCUGAUACACGUGCAAAGGUCUCUUGUUUCUUUGGGUAUCCUGAAAUGCGGAUGUCUCCUUCAAUGUACCCGCCUGUCUUUCUCCCAGCUAACACAUCCAUCAAAGUAGUUUUUCCUGCACCACUGACGCCCAUCAGUGCUGUCAGCACACCAGGCCUAAAAGACCCACUGACACCUUUGAGGAGCUCCAAACGAUCUUCUUGUACACCUUGUGCUUUCAUUUCCUGAAUUUAAUUUCAUGACCAGGGUUACAAAAAAGUGUUGAAAUCGUAUUUGUUGUGUAAGAGAUCAACUUUCUAUAUUUCACCUGUGGCAUGUCAACAGAGUAUUUGAUGUUGUCAAAGGUAAGCGAGAGCGGGUCAAAUGGGAGGAUCAUUCCCUUUUUUGUCGAGACAGAAUCAUCUUCCAUGAUUGCUGAAUCAGUUUCAGUGUUGACCCCUGUUGAUUGAUGAGUGCUUGCUGAUACCAAGUGAUUGCCAUCCAGAACCUCCCCUUUGAUGUUGGCAUGCUUCUCCUGCAGCUCCUCUUCAGAUACAGAUGGCCAGGAGUUGCCAUAUGCUGGAAAUUAAUAAGAUGGAAUCAUUCGCACUUCACAGGUUCAAAUAGACUGAAAUCAGAGAACAAUGAGAAAAUCAAUUUGGGAGUAACUCACGCUUAAGGUAUGUAAGGGCAAGAGUGAAGAGAGCAUUGAAGAGUAUGGUGAACCCAACCAUAGCACCAAAGCCAAUCCAGUACCACUUUGCUUCUGUGAAUACUCCACGAGACUUGAGGCUUUGCACACCUAGGGUCUCGUUGGAGGCAGUGCUAUUCAAUAUUUUGUCCCAGCUGUGACCCAACAUCUCAUUCACUGAAAUGGCAUUUUGUGCAUACAUCAUUGGGGAGAUCCAGUAGCCCCAGAUCCACCAUUUCUUAAUUUUAUCUGCAAGACGAAAUACAGACAAGCAUUGAUUUAAGAAGAGGCUACAUUGCAAAGAAUUACAAAGAGAGAAAGAUGAGUUCUAACCUUUUUGUAGAAUAAAUCCUCCCAACACCAUGACAACCAGCAACAUGAACGAUGCGAAGACAUUAGAAACAAUCAUGUUCCUCGAUGCCCCACCAAUAAACCGGAAGAGUGCUGCUGCCAUCUGAUUGACUGCUAACAGAAUUAGAUACUGCUUGAAGAACCUGGGGGCAACUAUUACUGUCAGAACAUUCAUAGUACAUUACCAGCGUAAUAAGAAUGGCUAAGGAUAAACAUUUAAACAAUCGGAAAAUCUCACCUGCUGACAUUUGGGUCGAACCCAAUGACAUAGUAUGUCAAGAAUACAUAACCGCCAACCUCGAUAAAUGUGAUGGGUAUCUUGAGGAUCCAUGAGGGUAUAGUGUAGGACCAUGCUGGAAAGAAAAGGAGAUCCCUCUGCUUGAAGAAUACAGGCAGCUUGAAGACAGUUAACGCCAGCUCAGAGAAGCCAUUGAACAUGGUCAAAAGCACACCAAAGAAGACUGCACCCAGGUAGAUACCGCCGUCAGUUAUUGUGUCAUGCUUCAUCUUCGUACGGAAGAAGAGAGUCAUUACAAUGAUUGACAUCAGCACCAGCUGUAAUUCCAGAGCACCAAGGAGUUAGUUAUGUUUUAGUUAUUUUUUCCUUACAUGCAAAUCGAUCAUACUGGUUGGACUUGUGAGUUACCUGGAAGGUUCUGAAUAUGUAGACAAAAGAGUUCCUCUUCAUGAGAAGGAUCUCGCGGUCUAUGUUUGCUUUGAGCAGCUCCUUGCCACUCACGCCGUACCUUGUGGUGGUUAGUGCGGCUGGGUGGCUUUUGCUCUUGUCGAACGGAACAGCAAGCUCAUUUGCUAUAGCUCUCCCCGUGUGGAAUGACUUAAAUGCAGUUGCAAAUUCCUUCACAGACACAAACCUGUAGGGCGCAUCAAGUCUCGCCCAGUACUGUUUCUGAUCUUUUUUCGAAGUCACCUGCCCAGCAUUUCAAAGAGAUAAGAUAACAAGAACUUUAUGCAUUUAUGUAUACUGCGAUACGGUGGCACAAUACAUACUUCUUGCAGGAAGUCAGCAACACCUUUCCUCUCAGGGCAUCUGAAACCUACUGACUCAAAAAACUCAAGCACUUCCUCUCGGGGGCCCUGGUAGACAACCUGACCAUCUGAGAGGAGUAUGAUGUCAUCGAACAAGUUAUAUGUCUCAGGUGCUGGCUGCAGUAGGGAGAUAACAGCUGUGCCACCGAGGAUGUGAAUGGACUGCCUGAGUGAAUUCACAAUUUGGAAUGUAGUGGAACUAUCAAGCCCAGUUGAGAUCUCGUCCAUGAAAAGUGCCCUCGAUGGCCCAACCAGCAUCUCACCUGCAUGAAACAUCCAAAUGAUAUAAUUCAGAAAGAACUUCAGCAAAGCCAAUGUUGUUGACCUAUUAUGGUUAUGAAAGACAGUUUUACCAGUUGUAACACGCUUCCGUUGUCCACCAGAUAUGCCCCUGAGCAUCUCAUCCCCUACCAUUGUGUCUGCACAUAUCUCUAGUCCUAAUAUCUGCAGCAAGUGGGGUGUACAUAGUUAAGACAAAUUUGAGUAAGUCUGAUCUAAAUUUCUAGACUUGAGGCUAAAAGUUGCAGUGUACCUUUAGAAUAUAGUCAGUGACCACAUUGGCAUCUUGCCCACCCAUUGCAGACGCCUAAUUAAAUUAAGCAGGAAAACAAUACUCAGUUUUGAUUAUGAUUGGUCAAUUAUUCAAGGAAACAUAAUCUAUGAUUAAAAAAAUCUACUGGAUUUAGUCAGGAUUGCAUGCCUUCAUGAAUGCAUCAAUAUCAGCAUCGGGUUUGAUACUGGCCGCCUUCUCUCGCCUUGACAGCUCAGUCAACAUCUCUAACAACAUAAAGGAAAGAAGCAAAAUCCAAUAAGCAUAUCAAUGAAUAGUGUAAAUUCUACAUGGUAAGCAAGCCGAACGAAUGCAUAUGCAUGUAUCGCGUGAAUAAAGUUGCUCAGAAGUGUACCAAAACGGGAGCCGACACCCUGGCAACGUGCAGAGAAUGCAAGCGUCUCCCUCACAGUCAUCUCUCCUAUGUGGAGGUCAUGCUGGCUGAUGUACGCUGCCGUCCUCUCUGGAACAAACUCUGUCAUCUCAUGACCAUUAUAGGUCACUUUGCCUGAAAACUGCACCGUGUUUCACCAUAACAUUAGGCACUGGACAUUUCAUUAGAGUAGUUCGUACAAAGCAUGCAUCAGUUGCCUAUGAAAGAUGCCCUGUUUCUUGAAUGCCCAGUUUUGUGCAGAAGUUCACAACAAACUAAAAUAAAUGCCGACGAAAUGCGAUGAACGAGAUAAUGCAGACUGGUUUCUUGCGAGGUGCAAUAUUUGCAAAGAAAUACACAAGGAUACAUUUUGACUUUGUACUACCUUGAGGUCUUUGCCAAGCCUUCCGGCCAAGGCCAGCAAGAAAGUGGUCUUGCCUGAUCCAGGCGGACCUAGCAGAAGUGUCAACCUGCAUAAACGUAAAGGACGUGAGGUUGACUGAUCGAAGAAGCCAAGAAAUCCAAUCCUUAACUCCUUCUCUCUUUAGGAGAUUAAUUACUAAUCGAUUCACCAACACAAGCCAAACCAACAGGAAUAUAGAAUUACUCUAGUAACUCAUCGAAUUUGUAGAUGGAAAUUGGAAAAUAGUUUGACUUUCUUGAGGACAAAAAGAAAAAAAAAUAUAAAAGAGCGAUUGUUUUACUCACUACCUGCGAGGCUUGAUGAUUCCGCUGACGUCGUGGAGAAUGGGCAUGAUCUGCUUCCUACUGGGCAGUAUGUGCAGCGCGUUCGCCGCUUCCUGCGUCGAACAAAGAGGCGCACCAACCAAAGCUCAAAAUUGAUCGUCUUUCACUAUCGGAAGUAACGGGUGGAAUGGCUGGCCUACGUACCUCGACCGUGUUGACGACGGAGUUGAGGACGGUGGGCAGGCCGCUGCUGCCGACGCGCACCUCCGCCUCCGCCCCAAGGUUCUGGAACCGCACCUCGAUCGUGGGCAUGUCAAUCCCGACCCUGCAGCAAACAAACACGCGCGCGCGCGGAAAUCGUCAGACACCCGCCGGCGAGCGAUUCUUGAUCCUUGAGCGGGCGAGAAGGUAUACCUGUCGACGCGGUCCUUGAGCUUGAGCAAGAAUCGCUCGUUGUCCUCGUCGGCGACGUGGACGAGGCGCUCCAGCAGCGCCCGCCUGUCGCGCGGGCCGAGGCUGAGCACGUCGACGUCCACGAGCCCCUUCCGGCCGGGCGCCUCGGCUCCGUCGGCCCCGAGGUCGAGCGGCACGAUGGCGCGGCGGACGCGGUCGUAGGUGGGCAGCUUCUCCAGUGCGGCCCAGCGGAGCGCCUCCUCGUCGUCCUCCUCCCUGGACGACCGCGAGAACACGUCGUCGCCGCGCCGCCACAUGGAGACGCUGCCUCCCCGUCGCAUACUCGCCACCUUCUGGAUGUCCCCCGCCGCGUCCAUCUCGCUAUCCCUCCUCCUCCCCCCUUUACCACCACAAUGCGGAGCUGACACCCGCUUGACAAUGGGAGAGCGUUGAGGCGGAAGGUGGGGUUUUUGUAGGGGUGACGCGUUGGGACGGGGCGAGACGGGAGGGGGGGAAGGGAAGGGGUCGCCUGCCGGUCGUGACUAGUCGUGACAGACGGUCAGAGCCGUCAGCCGCGCCGCCGGGGAGCUUUGCUCCUUGCGAGACACCUCGCCCCCCUGGCUGGGCCUGGCGCUGCAAUGCUGGACCGGGCUGGGCGGCUUGUUGCUUCUAGGUGACCUGUUUUCGCGUGGGAAUGGGAGAGAGGGGAAUCGUCAAUUAACGGACUGCCGUGCCGCCCUGUCGUUUCUAGGAGGCCAAGCAUUUUCAGUCUCGUUUUUUGAUUGAGCCCGCCUGGGCUACAGACGAAGGUCCACGUACGGAGUACGGUCUUUGUUUCAUCGAUUCAUCGAUAAAACUUCAAACACGCGGGACAGGCAGAUCAAAGGCGUGUUUUUAGUUCAAAAAAGUCCUCUAAACGUGGUGAAGCUCCACUGUUCAUCUACCGUUUCACCCCCUCACAGUUUCCUAUCCAUCCACAGUUUCCUAUUCCUGGCCAUCCGAUCCUACCUGCACACGCCGGAUGCUUGCCACGCCCACCCCCCACCGCCCCUCCUGCUCCCUCCCAGCUUCCUCCGACAAUCAAAAAAAGCGGCCUCCUCUGCGCGCUCCACCCGGGCAGGCCGGCGGCGUGCCACCUCUGUGGCUCAGGCGCACGAGCGCACGCCGGCGGUGCCCGGCACCAGCCACCAUGUGUUCGCUGAAAUGCUCUUGAGUCUUGAGGUAAUAUAUGAUGCAGUUUUCAUUUCUUCUGGAUUAUUGAGUGUGCUUGACAAAGAUUUGACUGCUUCCUUGCGGUUCCUUGCGAAUUGGACAGAUAUCUUUGGUUAUUAACCAGCAGUGAAUCAUCUGCCAUCACCAGUCAGUCUAGCAGCGGCAACCGCCGCGCCCACGGCCCUCUCGCACGGCAGGUGGAGCACCACCGUCCCCAUUGAGCCUCUUCAGUAUAUGUGCAUUUGUAUAUUUUUUGUUUACCCUUUACUUUGUGUUUUUUUUUGUACUACCUGGAUUAUGGGUGUGUUUAGUUCUCCAUAGAAUGCAAAAUGUAAAAUGUCAACUACUUCGGAAUGAUGAAAUACAAAAUGCCAAAAAUUUCAGGGUUCUUUUUACUUCCAUGUAAAAUGUAGAAUUUAUUGCCAUCAUUAGGGCCUCUUGAGGCUUUUUUGGUCUCUUAAGUUCAAAAUCUAAAAUGGAGAAUAGUUACCUUUUUGCCAAAAAAAAUUUGCAUAGUGUUUAGUUCUAUUAUGCAGAAUGAUGGACCAAUACCCAAAUUUUUUUUUGGGAUGAAAGAGGAACUAAACACCCCCUAUAACUAUGGUUGCUGCUUCUUUAUUGGGUGGUACUGCAAGGAAAAACACCUACAAUGUGAUGCUUUUCCAUGCUGGAAAGAGUUCAUGUCUGUUUAUCAUACCGGCUAUGAACAUUUGAUUCAAUUUCAGUCUAUUUGCAAUAACAAUACAAGCGAUAGUUUUCUGAGAAGAGGAGAAAAUGCAUAAUUUUCUAUGUUCGUCAAGUACCCAUUAUUUCUUUGCUAGCCUUUUUUCUGUCAUCACUAAUUUUAGCUUCAGCAUUAAUGAGAGGUGGCUGGAGUUGAACUUAACAUCCUGGAUUUUUAUUCGGUUCAUUUAAUUGUUUCAACAAUUUUGGAUGUAGGGACGGGCCCUUUUACAGACGCCAAUUUUCCAAGGUUUAGCAGUGACCAUUUUGAGCAUAUUGAUACAAUAUAUACAUAUCCAGGGAUUCAUCUUCGAGGCCCUUCACCACUCAGCCUUUUUUGUGCAUUCAAAUAUUAUCCUGUUGGUGUCACAAAUGGUUCGGUAUACAGUAUCAACUCUAUGAUGAAUCUGGAAGUAGGUGCUUUCGUUUUAUUAAUUCCAUGCCCAUUGUUUUCAUUUAUGACAUCAUCUUUUACUGAAUUGCAAAUCUCCAUUGUUUUCUUACUCUCUUUUUAUUUGUAUAUAUGUAGUCAGCUUCAACAAUGCCCACACCAUUGAUUGCUCAGAACAUUGUCACUGCAAGGCUACAGAAUUGCUGCAAUUAAUUGAUAUUGGAAUCGCUGGCUAUCGCCACACCCAGCCUGGACAUGCCAAAAUCUUUGGGUUCUUUGCAGCCCGAGAUAAGAUUGAACCUUUACGCAACUGCGUUUAGCAAAGCCUAAAGCUGCAAGUCACAUCGUCAUUGUAGAGCAAACACUUUGUAGCUUUACUCAUUCUCAAUGUAAGUUGAACUGAUCAAUCUUUUGCGAAACAUGCAAAUACCAUUCAGAUUUUAUUUUUUGAUUUUUAAGUUCCCAGGUUGGGGAUACAGUGUGAGAAAAUGAUGACUCUGGCGCUAAAUAGGAAUUAUGGUAGGUUAUGGUUCUUUUUGUUAUUGUACUGAAUCCAACCACAAUAUUCAAUCCACACUCCAAGUAGCAUUCGGAUUUCAAGAGCAUCUCCAUCUGAAUGCAAUAUUAGUUCCUUCCUUGCUAAAUGGGCACUGCCAUUAAGUGCCACUAUCAGAAAAUCGUACCAAAGCACAAUAUCUUACUAUUCUUUUAUUUUUGUUUCCACAAAAAAAAAACUCGGUUCCCCUUGAAAUAGUUACUUUGUGAUAGCCAGCUAUGAAUAGGCACAUUGGUACCGCCAACUACCUGUGGUGUGGUAGCUUUGUUGAAUCCAUAAUUUGUGCUUUUCUUAUAUACUUCAUCCAUCGGUAAUUCAGUACGGCAUCCAAAAUGCACAGAAGAUUUUAAAUCAAGACUCCAGCAGUUGUUAUCUGCUACAUGAGACCUUUUGCAUCACUAAUCAUCUCAUGUCAUUGUAUUAUUGUGCUCAGGUUGAUUAUUUGAACCUAAAAAGCAACCAGAGGUUGAUGUUUAUACAAGGCAGAAGGACGAUGGAUCCAACGACUGCAUGGCAGCAAAGGUAUCAUGAUCUUAACCUGCUGCAAAAAUUUUAUUCAUGAACUUCUCUUGGUAACAAAGCUAUCAUGAUCUUAACCAUUAGUUUGUUUCUUUCUUUACAAAUUCCAGGAAGGCCCGAUCAUAAGUGCUCGCAUUGUACCGCUCUGUUUUGGAAUGAGGAAUGAAUCCGUGCUCAUUCAUAGUAAUCAACAUAUCCUCAUGUAAGAGUGCCACAAGCUUUGUGCUAUGCCUAAAUUCCCCCUUUUUCAUUCACGAGCUAUCAAAGUAUCUUUUCGGUAUUCAAUUUUUUCUUUUCAGCCCAACUUCAUGCUUCAUCCUACAUGGAACAGCAUACUAUCACACCUAUUCAGCUGUAGCACCGCUUGUGAUAGGAGAUAAAUAUUAGGACAAACAUAUCAUUAAUAGACGUUUUAAAUACUCUUUAGUAGUGAUUAAUAAUUCUAAUGCAUUACUGAUGGUCUAAAUUGUUAGAAUUAAUUGUUUUCUACUUUAAUUACUUAGUUACUUGUGUAAUCUCCUAGCUUUAAUCCCCUAGCUAGUUGUGCAGCGUUAAUGCCCAGCUGGCCCCUUAGAUGUGCAGGGUUAAUGCCCAGCUGCCCCCUUGGGACUUGGCUGGCCCCUUGGGAUUCGGCUGGCCCUUUGGGCCACCCUCCUCCUCUCUAUUUAUAUGUAAACUCACAUGUAAUCUCGUCCUUAAGCAAUACAGAGCCUGUUUGGCUAUUGUCUAUCAUGGUAUCAGAUCAAACUACGAUCUAUCUGCUUCCACUCCCACUCCACCCGAUCCAGGCUGCGCGCGCGCCCUCUGCUGCUGCUGCGCGCGCCCAUGGCCACCUCCAGCUCCUCCGCCAUGGCUGCCGCGGCCAAGCUCUGUGAUGAAGCCCUCUCUGCUGCCAAGCACCUGGAGGAUGAGGCCUCCUCUCUGCGCUCCACCAACACCGAGCGCAGCCAGCAGCUCGAGGAAGAAGCUGCCCUUCUAAAGUCCGCUGCCGCUGCCCAGGAGCGUGUCCGCGUCGCGGCUGUUGCUCUUGACAAAGAGCGCGCAGAGGCGGAUACCCUGGAGCAGCAGGCUGCGGCCCUUCGGGAUCGCCUCCGGACCGAGCUUCUGGAUGACGACGCUGAAGACGACGACCUCCACUCCGCUUACUCUGAAGCUGCGGCCAUCGCCCACCUCCACAGUCAAGCUACUGCCGUCCAGAACAUCAAGAACUUAAUCCCCAUAGUUCUUGAUCUUCAAUCUUCCAACUACUCCAAGUGGCGCGGCUACGUCCUCCUCAUCCUCGGCGCUUUGCCUUGAAGGAUCACAUCCUCACCAACGACUCCCGCCCCUACAAUCCAGCGUGGUCGCGCAUGGACUGCGUCGUCCUCUCUUGGCUCUUCAACACCAUAUCGCCGACCUCCUGGACGUCAUCCACGAGCACGACGGCCUCACCGCUCGGGAAGCAUGGUGUCAGCGUUUUCCCCACGGGGGGUCACACCAACGAGUGAAUUUGUAUGCGUGCUCCCUUUUCCAGAUGGUGAUGCAAAAAGACACAAAGAUUUAUCCUGGUUCGGGCAAGAGAAGGCCCUACGUCCAGCGGGGGAGGGAGAGUUUGUAUUAUUUUGCACCUAAGUGCUUGUACAGGGGUGAAUACAAGCGUGGUAUGGAAUGAGAUGGAGUAUGAAAGUUCUACUGCGUAUGAGUGUUGUCCUGUGUCCGCUCCCGGGCCUCCCCUUUUAUAGUUCCAAGGAGAAGCCUAGGGUACAAGUAUAGGCGUCAGAGUAGGGGUCGAUAGAGGUAUGGCGCGCGGACCUACUCGAGGCCUCCGUACCGGCGUGGUCUCGAGCCGUCCUGUCCUGGUAGCUUGAUGAUGAUUACGCGUGCCCCUGUAUCCCGCUCUGUGCGCCGUCGUGGACUGGUUUAUCAGUUGUACGCCUGUACGUCAUGGCGGCAGAUACGUCGGAGUAGAUGCAGUGCUGUCACUCGACGCCUAACCCUUCCCCAGGAAGGAAACAUGUCUGGUCGAGGGUCGGGCGCCGCGUAACGCCUUGCUAGCCGGAGCGUUGACCUUGGAUGUCUCGAAGGGGUCUUGAUUAAACGUUCCGACCCUGCUUCCUGCGUCCUGACAUGCUCUGGAUCGUUUGGUGGGGAAGGCUGCAAAAAGAAUGACGGGACGGGUGCCUGUUUCCUAUCACGCUUCCCGUGACUGGCGUGUUAGGUGGGAACGCGACAGGCACAUUAAAUGCCCUGGUUCCCGUGCCCGCGUCAGGCGGCGGGCGGCGUCCUUGCGCUCGACGCCUCCCGAUUCGCUCGAGCCUGUUUCCGUAUUCGACGGUAGCGGGCGCUCGAGCCCCGAUUGAUUCGCUCGACACUCUUUCCAUCUUCGAGGCUGUGAUUGUUGACGAUCGUACGCAUGAAUGGGUAGAGCGUCGAGUUGGGGGCCUCGACUUGCGUACGGGCGAUCUCAUUAUGUACAUCAGUUAGGAUACCCCUUACUGAUAUCCUCGACACAUGGCUCGGGAUUGAACAGCAGUUCCUCAACAAUCGCGAGUCCCGUGCCAUGCUCCUCGACGCUGAGUUUCGCACUCUCAGCCAAGGUGCCCUCUCCAUCGAUGAUUACUGCCGCAAGAUGAAGAGCAUGGCGGAUGCCCUUGCCGACCUCGGCGAGCCCAUCCAGGACCGAACUCUAGUGCUGAAUGUUCUACGACGUCUCAAUGAACGCUUCCAGUUCAUGUCCCAGCUCGUCACCCGCCAGAGGCCGUUCCCCUCCUUCGCCGAUGUUCGUGCCGACCUCUGAUUGGCCGAGCUCAACAUGGGGCCACCCUCUCCUUCGGCUCUCAUCACUGCACCCUCCUUUAGGCCGCCUUCAACACCUGCAUCGGCACCUCCACGCCACCAUCAGGCCACUGCUGGCCAACAGGCUGCUGCUGGACAUCAUGCUGCUGCUGGACAGCAAUCCAGUAGCAACCGUGGCCGACGCCGCCGCGGUGGGCGCGGCUCUGGUGGCUCCCAAAGCAGUACACAGGGCAGUACUGCACCAGCCACACUACGGUGGCCAUCGCUGCUCAACCCCUGGACUGGCUCUAUCCACAUGUGGCCAGGAACUACCGCCGGCGGCGCCCGUGGCCCUCCACCACGCGCAGCCCAGCCUGCACCUUUGCAGCAGGCUCUGGUGGCUGGCGUGCCACCGGCAUACUUCACUCCACCGCCGGCUUCCGGGUCCUACUACCCGCAGCCCCCUCAAGCACCCCCUGCUUGGGCGCCCUAGACACCCGAGGGUCUCGCCAACGCCUUCAGCACCGUCUCCCUCACCCCACCACCGAGUUCCUCGGAUUGGGUGAUCGACUCGGGUGACUCCUCCCACAUCACCGCCAACCCUGGUAUGGUCACCGCUACACCAUCUUCUUCUUUCAUUCCUCCAUUGUCGUAGGUAACGGUGCCACCCUUCCUGUAAUUGGCACUGGCUACUCCGUCCUUCGUGGACCCUUUCGCCUCGACAAUGUCCUUGUCGCUCCUGAUAUUAUCAGAAAUCUGCUUUCAGUUCGAAAAUUCACUACUGACAAUUCUGUUUCUGUCGAGUUUGACCCUCUUGGUGUUUCUGUGAAGGAUCUACGUACCCGGAACACCCUCCUCACAUGUAACAGCACGGGGCCUCUCUACACCCUUCAGCUACCUUCAUCCACCACCGGCUCAUGCGCCAUUGUCGCCACUCCUUCACCGACUACCUGGUACAGGUGCCUUGGUCACCCCAGCAAGGCCACUCUUCAGUCCCUUGCGCAGUCCUCCUCCAUUGUCUGCAACAAGCCUGAAGAUGACUCCCUCUGCCACGCCUGUCAGCUUGGGCGUCAUAUUCGUCUCCCUUUUUCCUACUUCGCUAUCUAGAGCAUCCAAGAAUUUUGAUUUAAUCCAUUGUGACCUAUGGACAUCUCCUGCCGGUUUCAAAUAUUAUUUAGUCAUUCUUGAUGAUUGCUCUCAUUUCCUUUGGAAUUUUCCCCUCCGCGCUAAGUCUGAAACAUUUCCCACGAUUUCUAAUUUCUUCGCUCAUGUGUCUACCCAAUUUGGCUGCACCAUUAAAUCAGUCUAAUGUGACAACGGCCGCGAGUUUGACAACUCUGCCUCUCGUACCUUCUUCCUUGCUCAUGGCACCACCCUCCGCAUGUCGUGCCCCUAUACUUCCCAGCAAAAUGGGAAAGUCGAGCGCAUGAUCCGCACCGUCAAUAACGUCACACGCACCCUCCUCUUCCAAGCUUCCAUGCCCCGCUCUUACUGGGCUGAUGCUCUAGCCACUGCCACCUAUCUCAUCAAUCGCCUUCCCACCAAAACUCUAAACAUGAGCACCCCUUUUUCUGCCCUCCAUGGCACCCUUCCCUCCUAUAGUCCUAUCAUGAUCUUCGUGCUUUCGGGUGCACAUGCUAGCCCAACCUUUCUGCCACCAGCCCUCACAAACUUGCCACCCGCUCCACCCUCUGUGCAUUCCUUGGUUACUCACCAGAUCACAAGGGCUAUCGGUGUCUCGACCUCAACACCAACCGUGUCAUCAUUUUCCGCCACAUUGUCUUCGACGAAACAACGUUUCCUUUCUCCCUCCACUGGUCAACCCCUCCUCUAUAGGACCUUGAUUUUCUAACUGACGACGACACCAUUCCAGUGUCUCCUCUUCCUGCCGGUACACCAGGCGUUGCUGCCCCCUACCAGCCGGUGCCUCUGGCACGCGUAGGCAUGUCGGCGUCCACGGCACCGGUGCUGGCAGCACCCUCCACUCCGGCGCCACCGGCUGUGUGCAGGGGUCCCCGACGUCCUCUGUCCAGGAGCAGGCGUCCCCUGUAUAGGCACCCCCUGCACCGGUCUUCCCGGCUCCACCCGUCGUCCACGUCUACAGCAGGCGCGCUCCCGUCCCAGUUAUUGCGUCUCAGAAACCUCCUAUAAUUCAUGUCUACAGCAGGCGCGCUCUUGCUCCUGCCCCGCCACUGGAGCGCCCAGCAGGAGCCCCUCCUCGACGCUCCAGCAUGGUGCCCUCUCCACCUCGCUAUGUCAAGAGCGACCCUCCGGUCCCUGCUGGUGCUGUUUCCUUUCCACCGGUCGCCAACUCCCACGGCAUGGCGACCCAUGGAAAAACAGGCUACCGGCAGCCUCGCCUCGCCUUGCAUACUGAGGCCUUGUCUCCACUACCGCGGUCCUGUCGUGAUGCUCUUGCUGAUCCUCAUUGGCGCCAGGCCAUGGAAGAUGAAUAUGCAGCUCUUCAGGACAACCACACUUGGGACCUCGUCCCCCGCCCUGCCAAGGCUAACGUUGUUACUGGAAAAUGGUUUUUCAAGCACAAGUUCCAUGCAGAUGGCUCAUUGGAGAGAUACAAGGCUCGUUGGGUACUUCGAGGAUUCACUCAACGCCCUGGUGUUGACUACGAUGAAACCUUCAGCUCGGUUGUUAAGCCGGCCACUGUUCGCACAGUCAUCACGGUGGCACACUCUAGGGAUUGGCCGAUUCAUCAACUUGAUGUGAAGAACGCUUUCCUCCAUGGGACGCUCUCAGAAAUAGUAUACUACUCUCAGCCUACUGGGUUUGCUGAUCCUACACUACCAGAUCAUGUCUGCAGACUCAACAAAUCCCUCUACGGCUUGAAGCAAGCUCCGCGGGCCUGGUACAGUCACUUUGCCUCUUUUCUGAUCUCACUGGGAUUCACUGAGGCCAAGUCAGACACUUCUCUCUUAGCAUUCAGCUGUGGCACCGAGACAGUCUACUUGCUGUUAUAUGUGGAUGACAUUGUGCUCACAGCCUCAUCUCAGCAGCUCCUGCACCAUGUCAUUGUUGCACUGAAAAAGGAGUUUGCCAUGAAGGAUCUUGGACCUCUACACCACUUUCUUGGCAUUGCAGUUCAGUGCCACAGGGAUUCUAUUCUUCUUUCACAACGUCAGUACACUCUGGACAUACUUGCUCGCCAUGGCAUGAGUAACUGCAAGCCUUGCUCCACUCCAGUUGACACUUGUGCAAAGGUACCAGCUGAUGCCGACCCAUCUGUUGCUGAUCCCACUGCUUAUCGCAGCCUUGUGGGUGCCCUCCAGUACCUCACCUUCACUCGACCUGAUAUUGCUUAUUCCGUCCAACAAGUAUGCCUUCAUAUGCAUGAUCCGCGAGAGACUCACCUUGUCGCUGCCAAGCGGAUCCUUCGCUAUCUUCAGGGCACCCUCAACCAUGGUUUGGUCAUUCCCCGAACAGCCCCAACACAGCUCCGUGUGUACACCGAUGCUGAUUGGGCCGGUUGUCCAGACACCCGCCGCUCCACCUCCGGCUACGCCGUCUUCCUCGGGGGCAGCCUGGUCUCCUGGUCAUCCAAGCGGCAGCCCACUGUCUCCCGAUCCAGUGCCGAGGCUGAAUACCGGGCUGUUGCUAACGGCGUCGCUGAAGCCACUUGGCUGCGGCAACUGCUCCAGGAACUUCACCAUCCCCUGGACUCCGCAUGCCUCAUCUACUGCGACAAUGUCAGCGCCUGCUACCUCUCCACCAACCCCGUUCAACAUCAGCGCACCAAGCAUGUGGAAAUCGAUCUCCACUUCGUCCGUGAACGUGUCGCCAUGGGUGCAGUCCGUGUCCUUCAUGCGCCCACCACGUCGCAGUUCGCCGAUGUCUUCACCAAGGGGCUCCCUUCCUCUAUCUUCAUGGAUUUUCGCUCCAGUCUAAACGUUCGCUCCACCGACGAUCAGACUGCGGGGGUUGUUAGAAUUAAUUGUUUUCUACUUUAAUUACCUAGUUACUUGUGUAAUCUCCUAGCUUUAAUCCCCUAGUUAGUUGUGCAGAGUUAAUGCUCAGCUGGCCCCUUGGGACUUGGGUGGCCCCUUAGAUGUGCAGGGUUAAUACCCAGCUGGCCCCUUGGGACUCGGCUGGCCCUUUGGGCCACCCUCCUCUCUAUUUAUAUGUAAACUCACAUGUAAUCUCGUCCUUAAGCCAUACAGAGCCUGUUUGGCUAUUGUCUAUCAUAAAUAACUACAUUGCUUUUGGGGAAGCAAAGUUACAGCAACCACGAAGGCUAUUUAGUACCUUAUCAGAUUGAUAAAUUAGAACCAUGACGGGUCUACACUUUUUUAAGGGUAUGUUUGGUUGAGUGACUUUUGCAAAAGGUGUUGUGAGAUGUUGCUUUUGUAAAAGCUGAUGUAGGAAAGUUUAAAGUCCGUUUCGUUGAACAGUUGUGGCUUUUGGACGAGCUUCUCUCACUUACGAGCAGACCCCACAUGUCAUGGAUAGCAAGCCUACAUCUUCUUCCUCAUGCCACUCACCGAGGCUAGCCGCGAUGGCCAGGGCAGGCCGCGCUUGCUGGCUGAGGCUGCCACGCCUACCGGCUUCCUCUCUAUCUCGUGCAGGAGCACGCCAUUGCUACCCGCACGAGGUCUGCUCACCUAAUUAGCGACCAUUGCCGUCCAUUCUCGUGGUUUGUCAGCACUCUGCCCAUGUGCGCUGCUUUCCCUAUUCCUUGCACUAGUCUGAGCUGAGCCAAAGGCAUCAAGCUGGUGUCGUCUCUGCUUGCUACUCAAUGCCGACCACCACACAAGAACCUCGGCGAGCUCCCUCUCCUAUUCACCUGCGCCCUAGCCGGCCACACCCUUCGCUUCUACAACCCACACCAGACCUCCCUGAGCCUUUCUUCGGCUCCCUCUGCCGCCGCACAACGCCAUCAAGUGUCAGUCGUCGGUCUGCAUGCGCCUAGGUCGCUCAAGCGCCUCGGUCCACCACCAUCGGAGGAGCUCGUUGCAGGGCUGUGACUAGAGGAGCUCCGGCGAGGAGUCUGCUCUAGCGCUACUCUUAUUGUGGUGGCAUGACAUUUCCUCACGAUGUGAAUAGAACAUAAUGGGGAAAACGAUUUGAUUACAUAACCAGUUAUAGAUGGGUAAUUUUUUUACUGAAAAGUCAGUGAGAGCUUCUUUUGUACGAUGUUCAGCUGCUUUCGGGCAAAAGCUUUUGGGCUUUUUGGUUGGUUUUUUACUUUCUUUUGGCUUUUGCAAAAGCAUAGCAUCAAGCUCAACUAAUAACGAACUGUAAAUACAAACAAUAUGUUUUUGUGCAGAAGCUAAAUAAUAAUUUUACUUAUUGAAAUGAAAAGGAGAAUUCUAAUUGAUGAACAAUAUGAUAUCCGAAUUGGAGACGGAUCUUGAACAGUACGAGUACUCAUAUUCGAACACUGGUACCUAAUCCAUCUUGAAGUGUGGUCUGACCAGGUGCGGCAUCAUGGCAUUGCACAUAGGACAAAGGACUAGUUCAUCCGAAAAGAAAGGUUUACGAAUUAAAAUGCCUUGGUAGUUAUGAAUGAAAUUGUGCCAAAACACAAAGCUCAGUGGCUAAAAUGGUCACUUUGACAGUUCUAUGAUAAAAUUGAGACCAAUUGAGUACUGAAAUGUUUAUUUAAUAGUUUAGGCCUUACAUGAUAAUUGAGAGACCAAAAUAACUAUUGCGCCAAAGCUAUGUAAUGAUGACGACGACGAUGUUGGCAUCUACUAUACGCUUCUCAACGUAGGUCAUUUUAGAUUUGUCGUGAGACCGAAUGUUUGUUCGAUUACUAUGUAUAUUAGAAAAUAAAAUGGUUUAUUCAUUUGUGAGAGUAGUAACGUAGACAAGAAAUUUGAAGAGAAAUUGUGAAAGAAAUCAUAAAACAAACCUAUAUCUGAAACAAUAAUUUAUAUUUGGUGAUUUGGAAUCAAAUUUAAAAAUAAGAGAAGCACGAGCAAACACACCCACAGCAUGGCCACGAUAGCAAAAAAAUUUACACCUUUGGAUGGACAUCACGCGAUGCCCAAUGGGCUUCCUAUGCUUGGCACGAUGAAAAAUAUCUAUCGAUUUCUUUCUCCCAAUGUAGUCUCACACCCCCAUCACUCUCUCCUUGCUCUCUCUCUCUCUCUCCCCCUCUCCCGACACAGAGCAAGGAUAUCCACAAAGUGGAAUGGGCAACCAGGGCAAGGACAGCCGGCGUAGCGGCAAGGCCGUGCGAGUGGGCCUUGGCCUAGGGUGUGAGCGCGGCACUGGGUGGCAGGCGAGGGCGAGCAAGCUCCUAGCUGGUUGCAGCUCGACCACCACUAUUCCCUUGGUUGGCUGUAGGCCCCUCUACUCAGUCGCUACAAUCGUUGCUAGCCUUGGACAUGGCCCACACAUGCUUAGCCCCAGUUGGCCGCCUGUUGUGGGUUUGUCACUGUGGCAAGCGUGUGGGUCUCCAGUGGCUCGAUUACUCAAGAACACAUGAAAAGGUACGAUGAUGUAUCCUGGUUCGGGCUACUGAGGCCCUACGUCCAUUAAAGAACAACUAAAUUAAGGUUACAGCAAAGGAGGAGAGUUUGAUAGAAUCUAUCGGUGCUAUCCUAUGGUAAUCGUACGGCUAAUCGGCUAUGAGGUUUUUCCCAUGCCCUCGCGCCGACAUCCCUAGUCCUUUCCUACAAUGGUGAGUUUAGCCGAUUCAUCAUCAAAGGCAAAUGCAAAAUCCACGAUCCGGCAAUAGACAUGCAACAGCGCUCGACGGCAGCGUCAGCGGCCUGUGCCUCCCUGAUGGUCGUGGUGUCGGCGAGGUGGAUCCGACUGUGACGCUAGACCAGGUCCCUGUUGCACCUGGAGACGUGCUGUGAAGGAGAAGGCCAGCAGAUGGAAGACAUGAGCAUCAAGUGAUGGCGUAGUUAUCAUUUAUGUUUCUAUGUAAUUGAACUUCUGUCUUGUGGACCCAUGAGGUCAGCAUUUGUAAUGCACAUAAGUGCCUAAGCUUGUGCCAGAUACGGCAACAACUCUCAUAUUGCCCUGACGCCAUCCUCGUUCAUAUCCCCUUCUCGUGCUCACGUCGAUAGCGACCUCGCCGGUGACCAAGGGUGUGACAAGUGAUAUCAGAUUCAUCUAUCCUCAGCAUGGGUGUUAAGCUUCAUCGCUCUUCAACACUGCCACUUACCCAGACGUCGCGUAGCAUCUUCGAUGGCUUCCAAGUGACGGAUCCAACCACCUGCUUCCUUUUCCACCUCUGAUCCAUGUUGAUCCACUACUCUUCCACCCCUUAACCAUCCUUGGGUUUCCAUUUGGUCGGUUUGUGUUGAUCGUGGUCAUAAUUUUGAUGGAUAGGCUCUUCUUGGGUCACGCUUGCAAGGUGUUCUACCAGAGAAUCUAGAGGUCCCUCCUUUGGUUGAUUAGGUCCGCAGACGAUUUCAAUGGCACCUUCCACUAGAUCCAUCAACACAAACCCACCAUAAACAUAGAUCUGUCACCAUCUUCGGCAAAACAAUUCACCUAGGGGACUACAUUGACAACUGGUUGGUGGCGAUAACCAAGGGAACAACUCAAUUUAGCUCCUUCGUACAUCUCUAGCAUAGUUGGUUCAGCAACAAGGGUUGUGAGAUGCUUGUUCUCACAUAAAAUUCCAUAGUUGUGUUCUCAAUCCGGUGCGAUGGCGUUGGCAAGAGAGUGUCCUUGAGCUUGGGUUGCGAGGCAGUGUUCUCGUGUAAAAUUCCAAGGCUUAGGCUCACUCUCAGGUGGCAGCGUUGGUGACAAGCAACAUUUGGGAAGGGGCAACCUUAACUAGUUGUUUGAUUCACCUGUUGGGUUUAGAUUUUGUCCAUCAGUCAUCAUGGCUCCACCCAAACCUUCGAAGCAGACUCAAAUUCUACUAGACACCAUGUCCAAGAGUGCGCAUGAGGAGAAGACCUUCAAACAUGAGGUGAUGGACCACCUCAAACUGAUGUUUUCUAGAAUUAGUGAUGUUGGGGAGGUUCAACAGCAGAUGAAGGCACAGAUGGAUAUUCACGGGGCAGCGAUCUAUAAUUAUUCUGCUGAACAACACAUGAUCGCUCAGCAAGUGAAGGCUAAUAGGGCAACGAUGGCACAACUGACCAUGCGCCAAUUUGAGCAUGAGUCCAUCUAUGAUGAUGCUGAGAAUGAUGAUGCUCCAUCACAUUUGAGGAGAAAGACUCAUUUCACAAUGUAUUUGCCAAGCACAAAGAGCUAUCAAAUUUGAGCCAUCCAAGACUAAAAGACCUCCACCUAAGAAAGAAAGAAAGGUGGUAGAGGACAGAUAAAUUUCCAAGUGAGGCUAUGGCCAAGAUGCAGUUUCUCAAGUUUGAUGGCACUGACAACAAGAUAUGGCAAGAUAAUUGCAACAGCUAUUUCAAGCUUUACCAGUUGCCUGGGGGUAUGUGGAUUAAUACAACACAUUUGCAUUUUGAAGGCAAUGCAGCCAACUGGUACCAAGCUUACAAAUAGAACCAUACUUUCAAGAACUAGGACCAUUUUUGCUCGAUGGUGGAGGAAGAGUUUGGAGCGGAUGACUUCAGAACAACAAUGAAUGAGCUGCUAGACCUCAAGCAACCCGGAACUAUAUAAGACUACACUACAAAAUUCCAAGCUCUCUAGUUUACUAUCACUAUGCACAACAGUCACUUUGAUGACUUGUUUUUCACACUACAGUAUAUCAGAGGAUUGAAAGAGGAAAUCAGAGGCACUGUGGAACCACAAAUGCCUUCAACAGUGCAGAAAGCUUCCACUAUUGCCAACAUUCAGUAGGGAGUUCUAGCUCGAAGUAGGGCCAAAUAUGCUAGACACAAUAACAAUUCCAGGCCAUAUAACCCACCCGAUCUUGAAGGCAAACCAACCCAACCCCAAACCACAAUGUGGAGAGAUAGACAAUUGUGGGAUUAUCGAAAGGCAAAUGGUCUAUGUUUUAACUAUGGCGAUAAAAUUGUUCCAGGUCAUCUAGAGGUCUGCAUUAAAAGGAAAAGGCCUCAAGCUAAUGCUAUCAUCAUCAAUGAUUUGGAUAGAGAGUUGUCAGAUGAAGUUCUGAAUGAAAUGGCAGCAGAAGACGCUCUACAAGAAGAAUUUGGCCAGUUAUCUCUCAAUGCAUUAUCUAGUGCUGACAACAACAGAUGCAUCAAGUUGAAAGCAAGAGUUAAGGACAAAGUCAUGCUCAUUCUUAUCGACAGUGGCAGUUCCCAUAGUUUUAUAAGCUCUCAUUUUACCAACUUGACUCAACUGCCUACUGUGUCCACCAAAGCUAGAAAGGUAAAAUUAGCCAAUGGGGAAUGGCUCAUGAUAGAUCAGACAGUCUCUCAACUACCAUGGUACUAUCAGGGGCACACUAUGUCAAUUGAUAUGAUAGUAAUGGACAUGCACCCUAUGAUGCCAUUUUGGGUUUUGACUGGUUACAGGCACACAAUCCUAUGCAAUGUGACUGGGGACAUAAAACACUAGAGUACACUGCAGCAGGGCAACAGGUGAAGCUUUAGGGAAUACAUGACCCUCCUAUGUAACUUGUAGGAUCUCCUGGAAGGUAAAGGAGGCAUAGAGGGGGGGUGAAUAGGCCUCAUUUGUGGAACAUACUUUUUGCUAUACAAAUUUUAAAAUAGCUUCCACACAACAAGAAUAGCAAGCUCCUAGAAUUAUGUUAGAGCAUCUCCAAAAGACUAGGUAAAAUUAUAUUCUAAACUACAAGAUUUAGCCAUUGCGUAAAAUAAAAAAUUUAUUCAAAGCAUAGAGUUCUUUGUCUGAUUUUAUCAACCUCUUCGACUCAAGUCUUGGUUAAUGGUGAGCCGGGUGCGUCUAUUUUUCAUCGGCGCGGCCUCCGUCAGGGUGACCCCCUCUCCCCCAUGCUCUUUAUACUGGUCAUGAAUGUUCUGAACUAUUUGGUGGAAUAUGCAACUAGAGAGCAAUUGCUCCAGCCUCUUGCGGUGCAACAUGCUAGACAUCGAAUCUCCUUCUAUGCAGAUGAUGUUGUGGUUUUCUUGCGACCAUGUAGGUUGGACCUACAGGUUAUCAGGACUAUCCUAGAUCUGUUUGGUCAUGCUUCGGGUCUGCAUACUAAUUUAAUCAAGAGCUCAAUCUCUCCAAUCCACUGCUCUACAGAGGAUCUGCAGCUUACAGCAGAAAUUCUGAAUUGCUCAGUCAGGGAUUUCCCCUGCACAUAUCUUGGGCUUCCCCUUUCUAUACACAAACCCUCCAAAGAGGUGCUGCUGCCUCUAGUUGAUAAAGUGGCUGAUCUUCUCCCAGGAUGGAAGGCACAGCUAAUGAAUAGGGCUGGUCGCUUGAUUAUGGUGCGGGUGGUCAUGACAGCCACCCCCAUUUAUCUAAUGAUUGCCUUUGAUCUCCCUAAAUGGGUAAUCAAGGCAGUGGAUAAAAGGAGGAGAGGUUUUUUAUGGAAAGGGCAGGAACAGGCAAAUGGAGGCAACUUUUUAGUUUCAUGGGAAAGGGUUCAGCGCCCGCUUGAGUACGGUGGAUUGGGUAUCCAUAAUUUAGAAAAGCUUGGCUGGGCCCUAAGGAUCCGGUGGCUCUGGGCCCAAAAAACAGAUCCCUCAAGACCUUGGGCUGGUUUUCAUGUUCAAAUUCCUCAGUGUGCAGAAGCAAUGUUUCACCUAGCAGUUGACUGUAUUGUAGGUAAUGGAGAAUCAAUUUUAUUCUGGAAGGACAGGUGGCUGAAUGGAAGUACCAUUAGCGAUCUUGCCCCAAAUUUGGUCAAAGCUAUUCCCAAGAGAUCUCUCAACAGAAGGACAGUUGCUGAGGCUCUAACUAAUCAGAGGUGGGUGGCUGAUAUCAAGGGGGCACGCACUGUCCAAGUCUUUGAAGAAUAUUUCCAUAUUUGGGAUCUAGUAGAGGGCUUGACCUUGCAGCAGGAUGUACCUGAUCAGUUUAGAUGGAAAUUAACUCAGUCAGGUGCUUACUCCAGCAAAUCGGCUUAUGCGGCUUUCUUUGUUGGGACCAUCAAAUUUGCACCAUGGAAAAAGAUUUGGAAGAGUUGGGCUCCACUACGGUGCAAGUUCUUUAUUUGGUUAGCUAUCAACAAUCGAUGUUGGACGGCAGACCGACUUGCUAAAAGAGGCUUGCCCCAUUCCGAGGUUUGUCCUUUCUGUGAUCAAGAGGAAGAAACCAUAGAGCACAUCCUUGUGGGGUGUGUAUUCACCAGGCAGAUAUGGUUUUCAAUUCUUCAAGCUCUUCACUUACCUGCUCUUGUGCCCUCAACUUCGGACACCAAUUCUCUAGCUGGUGGAGGAAAAGUCUUCGGCUCGUUCCAAAGGAAUUGCAAAAGGGGGUCAAUUCUUUAGUUAUCCUAGUAGCUUGGGAAACUUGGAAACACAGAAACUCUUGUAUUUUCGAGCAUGCUAGGCCUAGCAUUCCGGACCUGCUCCGGGUGAUAGCUGAUGGCUGCAGUUUUUGGGGGCUGGCUGGAGCUUCUAAGCUCCAAGAGCUUCUUGCUCGGUCGCUGUCCCUAGCCGCUUAGGUGGUGUCUAGGUUGACCAGGGGUUUUAGUUGUUGCCUUGUCUCCUGUUAGAAGUGUGUGUGUGUGUGUGUGUGUGAGUGGAGUUUUUUUGUACUUGGACCAGUGCCUACCGGUUUUUCCGUCUUCUUAAUGAAAUGACACGCAGCUCUCCUGCGUUGUUCGAGAAAAAAAAGAGUUUCACAACAGCCUUUGUAUAGGAUAGCUAGUGAGGACGACAUCCUUUGUAUAGGAUCUGCCUGCCAGGUGUAUGUGAUUUUAUUUGAUUGGUGACUUAAGAGGUUGCGGCAAAUUACAUACCACCGAUGGCUCAGUAGUGUUCGCCAACAACAUUGUAAUGCUGAAUAGCUCCUUUAGGUGAUAUACAUGAGUCCCCAUCCCCACAGACAAAGGUCCUGGUAGUAUUGCUCAUUUGAAAUAGUAUGAAUUUUGGGCACUUUUUUACAACUUGCCAGUGAACAUCUUAAUUGUUAUGGUUAGCUAGCUUGGCCCAUUCGUAUUUACCAAAUUUUUUGCAUGAAUCUCAGCAAUAUGGUCGAUGGCAUUGCCUUGUGCGGGGUAUAAGCAGGUGAGUGCAACACUAUCCUAAUGAUUUGUAUCAUGCAAGUUUAUUAAUCAUGCAGGUUUAUUCUAAUUUUGGCAGUUCAUGGCCUCAUGGGUAUGACAUAAGAGUAGUGUCCCAUCCUGUGUUUUUGCGCUGUUUAUUCACAAGGGGAUCAAAAUAAUGCAGGUUCCUCAUGCCAAUUGUUUCCCCUCUUACAGGCUUAUGAGUGUUUUUGCAAAUGCCUGUCAUUUGUACAAACUAAAUUCAAGGCCAGAACAUUUUGUUUGUGUAGUCCCCCUGUCCGUGUUGUUGCUGGACGUUCCCUUUGUUGCACUGCUGCUGCUGCUAGGGGAGAGAAGUAAGGAGGAUAAGAGAUGAAAAACCAGGGCAGAAGAUAGAGGAGCGAGGAGGGGUCCCACUGGGUUCCUUCAUUGUGGUGCUGCAGGUUAAGAAUCCAUGCCAUAAGGCUAUAAGCUCAUUUUCCAACAAAGAAAGGCCUCUUCCCCCCCCCCCCCCCGAUAUAAUCAUCUGAUCAGAAAGGAAAUUACUUGUACAAAGGCUUAUGCAUGCACCCAAUUAUGAAGUUAGCUAAGCUGAGGAAAUUGCUUGUUUCGUAUCCCUAGCUUUAUCACAUUUUUCAGUUCUUGAGAGCCUGCUUUCUUUAUGACUGCUGCUUGUCCUGAAUUGUUUUUCUACUCUAAAUUCACUGCCAAUAUUCUCAGCUGUUUAACUUAUAUGUUCUCUUACACUAGUAAAUUAUAGUGCCAUAGUGGAACUACCAAAGGUUCAUGUAUUUGUUACUGCCCAGAUUAGUCUAUAACUUGUUCAAGUAUGCCUAUUAUGCUGCCAGAUAAUUGGUUAUUGGUCAAGCAGUGUGAGCCAUUUUAUUUUUUUCAGAGAACUGUCCUAAAGUUGCAAUUUGUAUUGAACCAACUACAUGGUGCAGUUAUCAGAGCACAACAGAGGUUAGUGAUUACACUAUUCAAAUUCCUUCAUGAUUUGGUAUAUACAAGGUUGCUUGAGUUAACUGUAGCGGUGCAUGUUCAAUUCUAUCUCCAAGUCUCCAAAGAGGUAUAGGUAUCUGAAAUAGGAAAGAGUGAUAUGUCGAUUGGAAAAUAGGGUAGCAUGCAAAUCAAAUAUUGAGUUGCACAUUAUGAAACCGUUAUUUUUUAAGCCUGAGUGAUUUACAGUUGAGAUAUCUGAUUCUUCUGCAAGCUAAUAAAUCUCUUGGACUUUGGGAGUUGGGAAACAAAUUACACGAAUGAUUUACGAGAGAAUAAUAUUCUACUUGAAUUUACUGUCACAACAUCAUAUACCCUGUCUAUAUUCCCAGUCUAGGCACUUAAAGCAACUACAAACUUUGUGGUUGUAUUUCUCUAUUUUUUUAGAGAUGAACAUUAUGUUGAUGUUUUACAUCUUUUGUUAACAACCUGGUAUCCAUAUAGUGGCAUAUGGAUAUUUAUUUGUUUGAUUAACAGCUGAUCCAAGCCUUGCUAUAGUUGGAUUUUGUAGCUCUUGUAUUAUUUAUUUUAGGGUCCUUUCUGAAUUAGCAACUAGGCCUGUAAAUUGCGAGCAGGGAAAGAAUUUGUUUGUAUGGAACCUGAUCAUGUCGAGAGGUGAAAUGGAUCGGUUCAAAUGAAAGGUUAUAAGACACCUCAGAUGCCAGAUAUUUGAACAAUUUUUGACCGAAACAGAUAUUUGAAUAAUUUGAACAAUUAUUGCAUGGCAUAUCUAGAUAAUGUUCCGAAGUCAUUUUUCCAUAUGCCUUAAACAAUGAAUCAGUGCAUGGCAUUGAUUUGGAUCAUGGCAAUGCACGGAAUAGACCAUGGUUCCUCAGCGUGACAGUAUACCUAUUGCACCAAACGAAUGAUUAGUGUCCUAAAAAUACUGAAGUAUUAUCAUUUGCCUUCUUAUAAAAAGAAAUGGCACAUCAUAUUGUAGCUUAGUAUAAGGAAACAGCACCUGGCAGAUGUCACAGUUGUACCUUUAGAUUUGUUCUUAAUAACUUUUGCAGAGCAGCUUUUCUCCUAUUCGUCAAUCAUUUGUGUUUUCAGUAGUUAGCAUUGGGAAUUAGAAGGCCUUUCUUCAGAGAGGCUGCAGUGCUUGUUGAUACUAUUACGUUAUGAUGUGUACUUCCAGCCAUUAAGCUAAGCUUAAGUAUGUGGUGCUUAAAUGUAUUAAAUAUAGUCACUGUCAAGGAGCAUAUUGAUAUUAUUAUCUAUACCUUGCUCCCCCAAAAAAAAAAUCAGAGUUACUUCAAAUAUUACAAUUUAGGAUCUUUGUAUAUUUGGGUCUUGAGUUGACAAUCUUUUGAUGGAUAAUUCAUUUUACAGAAGAGGCAGAACGAUAUCCUAAUGAUUUGCAACAUAGUCAAAUUGUUCUUUAACUGUCACUAUUUGAUAAUUAAGAGCAACAGUGUAACCCAGCUUUGUUCUUUAUGUAGGUUCAAGCUGUUGAUGCGAACCCUUCAUGAGUUCGGAUCUCGCAUGGCAAAUUCAAAAUUCCCAACAAGCCAAAGCUGGCCUCCAUUGUUACUACACCUGAGAAUGAAGGGGGGAGGCAUUUAACAUGCGGUGUCGCGACAUGCCAGUUGCAACGUGCCAGUUGUUUGUGAAAGAAUUCUCUUGCCUUGGAGUGGAUUGAAGUGCAGGAGGUCUCCAAUGUAGUACUUCGGUUUGUUCAGGUGAGCAUUUUUCUUGUGCGGAUGAUACCAUUGAGAGGAGUUAUAGCUGAGAAAGGGAGAAACCAUGAUCCAAUUGUAGCUGUGUGAGGACAAUGUUGCUUACUUAGAAAAUUUGAUCUAUGAUAUGUAUGUUGGCACUGCUAUAUAUGUUUAUGCACAGAUCCUUGGCUACUCAGAAUUGUUUGCCUGCAUUCUGAUAUUUGAACAUCAGAUAGUUGGACAGUUAAGAUGAGGUUUUCUUAUAUCAACAAUUUGUUUGGAAGUUUUGGUAUAGUAGUGGGACUCGCAAAUUCAAUUUGUUGGUUUUGACUUGUGAAGGUGACAAUUUACAACAUACUGAUUUUGCAAACAUCACACAAGAAUAAUCAUUGUUGAUAAUAGUAUAACACACAUCCAAACUUUGUUAUUGUGACAUUAUUUCAACACGCAUGAUCCGAGUCAACCAAAGAAACAUGAAAGGAAAGACCAGGUUUUAAUGAUUCUUUCUCAUGUACUUGCAAUCUUCUAGUACUGAUGUACACGUAUCAAAAUAGUACGUAUAUGUUUAAGUCAAAUAUACACGUAUCAAAAUAGUACGUAUAUGCUUUAAGUCAACAGCAACACACGAGGUAUUUCCUUGCCUUCAACUAAUCCUUUGCAAGGAGCUACAAGCUUACAAAAUUUACUAGUAGGUGUGUGAAAUAUUCUUUAAAUACUACGCCAUCAUCCUCCCAAAAAAGCAGCAAUAACUGCUAGUAUAACUUUAACUAAUCAAAGAAUCCAUAGAUUUGGCGGACUCUCCCAAUAUACACAGUCAAAUUUACUUGCACGACCCAACGAAUGCAAAAUCCCUUGUCCAGGAGGUGAUUUUCCCAGCUCCUAUCGUCAUUAUCUCUUCUGGAAGUUGAACUUCAUGAUGGCAAAGCCAAAUAGGGCCGCAAAGAGCACAGCGAAUGCUACCACCACGGCUGCCACCCACCCCAACCAGCUGUGCUUGAAGCCGAAGUAGUCCUCAACGUACUGUGACACCACCACAGUCCUGUUGUUGUCGUCCAUCUCUGUCAUGAUGUCACCGAACUGUGACACCACCAGCCCGUACAGCGUCCAUGCCACGGGGCAUAUCCAACAGUACCACCUCCACCAGAUCGGUGUUUUCUGAAGGUAGCGGGAGGCAAGAACAGGAAUGAGCUUUGCUGCUUUGGAAAUGGUAGACAAAAGUUGCAGGGGGCAUGAUGAGGUCUUACCGGUCGGGGGAUGAUGAACCCAGAGAAGAGGUUCCAGAUGGCAUAGAAUGCCGAGGAGACGAUCGAGGCGAUGUGAUAGUUAGGUGUUAGCCCAACAGCCAUCAUGCCAUAGAAUGUGAAGUAGAGCAGCGUGAAGUACCCAAAGAAGAGGUACCAAAAGAACUUGGCAGCCGUCCACUCAAACCCGAUCAUGGCGUACACUAUGACACCAUAUAGAAUAUCCUGAACCAGUGCGUAUGGGAGCUCAAUGACAACCUGCGUGGAGACAAAUUGAUCAGACCAGUGCCCUGCUCUCUAGAACAUGGGCCAACAGGCAACAAGCAGCAGAAAAAGCAGCGUGUGAAAUUGAUCUCCAGGAGGAACAUUCACCUGGCCAAAUGCAUAUGGGAAAGCUGAGUACAUGCCAGCAGCUCUUUCACGGUAAAAGACUGUCCGCUCCACAGCCACCACUGGCUGAACUGAGGUACAAUUCAUGACCCCGAUGAAAAUCACUGCAGCGUACAUUGAUCCCAAGGCAUUCAUCAAAUCUUGUGAUGUAGACCUGGAUUAUGAAGCAAAACGUGAAUAAAAAACUGAAGGUCAAGCCACUUGUUUGCCAUAAGCAAUGGUACAACUGGGAAUGACUUACACUUUGCCACCUAGGUCCCAAAAGAUGGUGCCAAGGAGGAGAGCAAUGAUGGUAGUGAAAAAGAACCUAACAGUAUUGUAAGGAGGAUUCCUCCAGUAUGACAGGUUCUGUUUCCACAGGCAAGCCACACAUUGUGUGAUGGAAGACUGUGCGUACGUGCUAGCGAAAUGCAGGUCACUUGAACCUGGCACCGGAUGGCUUAAUUCCUUUAUCAACGCCUUGUUCCUCCUGUAAAAUAUAACAAGCAACACAUCAUCUACUGCAGAAAUUCCAUGGAGAAGGAGGGUUGGUUAAUACUGAAAAGUGCAAAGUGCAUUGGUAUGUACCAACCGGUAGUACCCCGUUUAUGGUUAUUCUCAAAGAUGAAGUAAGUGACUAGUAGGGAUUGUAAUUUACUUACUGGUAGAGUUCAGAUUUCUUGUAUAUGUCACUGAAAUCAACACCUAGAAUCUGUUCCUGAGAAGUUGUGGUCACUUCCAGCAUCCAUGUUGCUGGAUUGUAGCCAUCUUUAAUUUUGCUGACCCCUUGGAUCCCCUGGAUAAUAUGAAACCACAUGAUAUUCUCAGUAAUUUUGAAGAAAAUUCGUGUAUGGAUAGUCAGAUUUCUCUAAUAUCAUUUACCUCAAAAUACUUGAUAAGAUCUGAAGAAUGAUGUCCAAGUGGACCAGCAUAGAUCUCUUCUCCACCACGCUUCAUAAGGAAAAGCUGCAUGCAUUGAUCAAACAUUUUAGACUUUGCAAGUUGCAACAUAGUUCAAGGUUUGGAAAAACCAACCACAUCAAAACAAGUAUGACCAAACGCUGACCAGAAAGUAGAGGGUAGAUGGAAGUAAAUCCUAUGUGAAAUCUCACUCACCUCGUCAAAUGCUUCAAAUAUGUCAAUGCUAGGCUGAUGUAUUGUGCAGACCACAGUUCUACCAGUAUCAACGGUGUUCCUCACCGUCCGCAUCACAAUUGCAGCUGCUCGGGCAUCAAGCCCUGAGGUUGGCUCAUCCAUAAAGAUGAUCGAUGGAUUUGCAACAAGUUCCACAGCAAUGGUAAGCCUUUUCCUCUGCUCAGUUGACAGACCAUUCACUCCAGGAAGUCCAACCAAAGCAUUUCUCAGUGGUUUGAGCUCCACAAGCUCCAUCACCUCCUCAAUGAAGAUCUGCACAUAUAAUGGUGAGCAACUAUCUACCAAGUGUAUCUUUCCACGGGUGGAAAUUGCAACUAUUUUGUGGAACUAACCUUUCUUGUGUUUGAAUCGACAUCCUUGGGAAGCCGGAGCCAUGCUGAGAAAAGCAAGGACUCAUAGACCGUCACCUGUGGCGAGUGGAUAUCAUUCUGUUCACAGUAUCCUGAUACACGUGCAAAGGUCUCUUGUUUCUUUGGGUAUCCUGAAAUGCAGAUGUCUCCUUCAAUGUACCCGCCUGUCUUUCUCCCAGCUAACACAUCCAUCAAAGUAGUUUUUCCUGCACCACUGACGCCCAUCAGUGCUGUCAGCACACCAGGCCUAAAAGACCCACUGACACCUUUGAGGAGCUCCAAACGAUCUUCUUGUACACCUUGUGCUUUCAUUUCCUGAAUUUAAUUUCAUGACCAAGGUUACAGAAUAGUGAUGAAAUUGUAUUUGUUGUGUAAGAGAUCAACUUUCUAUAUUUCACCUGUGGCAUGUCAACAGAGUAGUUGAUAAAGUGGCUGAUCUUCUCCCAGGAUGGAAGGCACAGCUAAUGAAUAGGGCUGGUCGCUUGAUUAUGGUGCGGGUGGUCAUGACAGCCACCCCCAUUUAUCUAAUGAUUGCCUUUGAUCUCCCUAAAUGGGUAAUCAAGGCAGUGGAUAAAAGGAGGAGAGGUUUUUUAUGGAAAGGGCAGGAACAGGCAAAUGGAGGCAACUUUUUAGUUUCAUGGGAAAGGGUUCAGCGCCCGCUUGAGUACGGUGGAUUGGGUAUCCAUAAUUUAGAAAAGCUUGGCUGGGCCCUAAGGAUCCGGUGGCUCUGGGCCCAAAAAACAGAUCCCUCAAGACCUUGGGCUGGUUUUCAUGUUCAAAUUCCUCAGUGUGCAGAAGCAAUGUUUCACCUAGCAGUUGACUGUAUUGUAGGUAAUGGAGAAUCAAUUUUAUUCUGGAAGGACAGGUGGCUGAAUGGAAGUACCAUUAGCGAUCUUGCCCCAAAUUUGGUCAAAGCUAUUCCCAAGAGAUCUCUCAACAGAAGGACAGUUGCUGAGGCUCUAACUAAUCAGAGGUGGGUGGCUGAUAUCAAGGGGGCACGCACUGUCCAAGUCUUUGAAGAAUAUUUCCAUAUUUGGGAUCUAGUAGAGGGCUUGACCUUGCAGCAGGAUGUACCUGAUCAGUUUAGAUGGAAAUUAACUCAGUCAGGUGCUUACUCCAGCAAAUCGGCUUAUGCGGCUUUCUUUGUUGGGACCAUCAAAUUUGCACCAUGGAAAAAGAUUUGGAAGAGUUGGGCUCCACUACGGUGCAAGUUCUUUAUUUGGUUAGCUAUCAACAAUCGAUGUUGGACGGCAGACCGACUUGCUAAAAGAGGCUUGCCCCAUUCCGAGGUUUGUCCUUUCUGUGAUCAAGAGGAAGAAACCAUAGAGCACAUCCUUGUGGGGUGUGUAUUCACCAGGCAGAUAUGGUUUUCAAUUCUUCAAGCUCUUCACUUACCUGCUCUUGUGCCCUCAACUUCGGACACCAAUUCUCUAGCUGGUGGAGGAAAAGUCUUCGGCUCGUUCCAAAGGAAUUGCAAAAGGGGGUCAAUUCUUUAGUUAUCCUAGUAGCUUGGGAAACUUGGAAACACAGAAACUCUUGUAUUUUCGAGCAUGCUAGGCCUAGCAUUCCGGACCUGCUCCGGGUGAUAGCUGAUGGCUGCAGUUUUUGGGGGCUGGCUGGAGCUUCUAAGCUCCAAGAGCUUCUUGCUCGGUCGCUGUCCCUAGCCGCUUAGGUGGUGUCUAGGUUGACCAGGGGUUUUAGUUGUUGCCUUGUCUCCUGUUAGAAGUGUGUGUGUGUGUGUGUGUGAGUGGAGUUUUUUUGUACUUGGACCAGUGCCUACCGGUUUUUCCGUCUUCUUAAUGAAAUGACACGCAGCUCUCCUGCGUUGUUCGAGAAAAAAAAAAGAGUUUCACAACAGCCUUUGUAUAGGAUAGCUAGUGAGGACGACAUCCUUUGUAUAGGAUCUGCCUGCCAGGUGUAUGUGAUUUUAUUUGAUUGGUGACUUAAGAGGUUGCGGCAAAUUACAUACCACCGAUGGCUCAGUAGUGUUCGCCAACAACAUUGUAAUGCUGAAUAGCUCCUUUAGGUGAUAUACAUGAGUCCCCAUCCCCACAGACAAAGGUCCUGGUAGUAUUGCUCAUUUGAAAUAGUAUGAAUUUUGGGCACUUUUUUACAACUUGCCAGUGAACAUCUUAAUUGUUAUGGUUAGCUAGCUUGGCCCAUUCGUAUUUACCAAAUUUUUUGCAUGAAUCUCAGCAAUAUGGUCGAUGGCAUUGCCUUGUGCGGGGUAUAAGCAGGUGAGUGCAACACUAUCCUAAUGAUUUGUAUCAUGCAAGUUUAUUAAUCAUGCAGGUUUAUUCUAAUUUUGGCAGUUCAUGGCCUCAUGGGUAUGACAUAAGAGUAGUGUCCCAUCCUGUGUUUUUGCGCUGUUUAUUCACAAGGGGAUCAAAAUAAUGCAGGUUCCUCAUGCCAAUUGUUUCCCCUCUUACAGGCUUAUGAGUGUUUUUGCAAAUGCCUGUCAUUUGUACAAACUAAAUUCAAGGCCAGAACAUUUUGUUUGUGUAGUCCCCCUGUCCGUGUUGUUGCUGGACGUUCCCUUUGUUGCACUGCUGCUGCUGCUAGGGGAGAGAAGUAAGGAGGAUAAGAGAUGAAAAACCAGGGCAGAAGAUAGAGGAGCGAGGAGGGGUCCCACUGGGUUCCUUCAUUGUGGUGCUGCAGGUUAAGAAUCCAUGCCAUAAGGCUAUAAGCUCAUUUUCCAACAAAGAAAGGCCUCUUCCCCCCCCCCCCCCCCCGAUAUAAUCAUCUGAUCAGAAAGGAAAUUACUUGUACAAAGGCUUAUGCAUGCACCCAAUUAUGAAGUUAGCUAAGCUGAGGAAAUUGCUUGUUUCGUAUCCCUAGCUUUAUCACAUUUUUCAGUUCUUGAGAGCCUGCUUUCUUUAUGACUGCUGCUUGUCCUGAAUUGUUUUUCUACUCUAAAUUCACUGCCAAUAUUCUCAGCUGUUUAACUUAUAUGUUCUCUUACACUAGUAAAUUAUAGUGCCAUAGUGGAACUACCAAAGGUUCAUGUAUUUGUUACUGCCCAGAUUAGUCUAUAACUUGUUCAAGUAUGCCUAUUAUGCUGCCAGAUAAUUGGUUAUUGGUCAAGCAGUGUGAGCCAUUUUAUUUUUUUCAGAGAACUGUCCUAAAGUUGCAAUUUGUAUUGAACCAACUACAUGGUGCAGUUAUCAGAGCACAACAGAGGUUAGUGAUUACACUAUUCAAAUUCCUUCAUGAUUUGGUAUAUACAAGGUUGCUUGAGUUAACUGUAGCGGUGCAUGUUCAAUUCUAUCUCCAAGUCUCCAAAGAGGUAUAGGUGUCUGAAAUAGGAAAGAGUGAUAUGUCGAUUGGAAAAUAGGGUAGCAUGCAAAUCAAAUAUUGAGUUGCACAUUAUGAAACCGUUAUUUUUUAAGCCUGAGUGAUUUACAGUUGAGAUAUCUGAUUCUUCUGCAAGCUAAUAAAUCUCUUGGACUUUGGGAGUUGGGAAACAAAUUACACGAAUGAUUUACGAGAGAAUAAUAUUCUACUUGAAUUUACUGUCACAACAUCAUAUACCCUGUCUAUAUUCCCAGUCUAGGCACUUAAAGCAACUACAAACUUUGUGGUUGUAUUUCUCUAUUUUUUUAGAGAUGAACAUUAUGUUGAUGUUUUACAUCUUUUGUUAACAACCUGGUAUCCAUAUAGUGGCAUAUGGAUAUUUAUUUGUUUGAUUAACAGCUGAUCCAAGCCUUGCUAUAGUUGGAUUUUGUAGCUCUUGUAUUAUUUAUUUUAGGGUCCUUUCUGAAUUAGCAACUAGGCCUGUAAAUUGCGAGCAGGGAAAGAAUUUGUUUGUAUGGAACCUGGUCAUGUCGAGAGGUGAAAUGGAUCGGUUCAAAUGAAAGGUUAUAAGACACCUCAGAUGCCAGAUAUUUGAACAAUUUUUGACUGAAACAGAUAUUUGAAUAAUUUGAACAAUUAUUGCAUGGCAUAUCUAGAUAAUUUUCCGAAGUCAUUUUUCCAUAUGCCUUAAACAAUGAAUCAGUGCAUGGCAUUGAUUUGGAUCAUGGCAAUGCACGGAAUAGACCAUGGUUCCUCAGCGUGACAGUAUACCUAUUGCACCAAACGAAUGAUUAGUGUCCUAAAAAUACUGAAGUAUUAUCAUUUGCCUUCUUAUAAAAAGAAAUGGCACAUCAUAUUGUAGCUUAGUAUAAGGAAACAGCACCUGGCAGAUGUCACAGUUGUACCUUUAGAUUUGUUCUUAAUAACUUUUGCAGAGCAGCUUUUCUCCUAUUCGUCAAUCAUUUGUGUUUUCAGUAGUUAGCAUUGGGAAUUAGAAGGCCUUUCUUCAGAGAGGCUGCAGUGCUUGUUGAUACUAUUACGUUAUGAUGUGUACUUCCAGCCAUUAAGCUAAGCUUAAGUAUGUGGUGCUUAAAUGUAUUAAAUAUAGUCACUGUCAAGGAGCAUAUUGAUAUUAUUAUCUAUACCUUGCUCCCCCAAAAAAAAAAUCAGAGUUACUUCAAAUAUUACAAUUUAGGAUCUUUGUAUAUUUGGGUCUUGAGUUGACAAUCUUUUGAUGGAUAAUUCAUUUUACAGAAGAGGCAGAACGAUAUCCUAAUGAUUUGCAACAUAGUCAAAUUGUUCUUUAACUGUCACUAUUUGAUAAUUAAGAGCAACAGUGUAACCCAGCUUUGUUCUUUAUGUAGGUUCAAGCUGUUGAUGCGAACCCUUCAUGAGUUCGGAUCUCGCAUGGCAAAUUCAAAAUUCCCAACAAGCCAAAGCUGGCCUCCAUUGUUACUACACCUGAGAAUGAAGGGGGGAGGCAUUUAACAUGCGGUGUCGCGAAAUGCCAGUUGCAACGUGCCAGUUGUUUGUGAAAGAAUUCUCUUGCCUUGGAGUGGAUUGAAGUGCAGGAGGUCUCCAAUGUAGUACUUCGGUUUGUUCAGGUGAGCAUUUUUCUUGUGCGGAUGAUACCAUUGAGAGGAGUUAUAGCUGAGAAAGGGAGAAACCAUGAUCCAAUUGUAGCUGUGUGAGGACAAUGUUGCUUACUUAGAAAAUUUGAUCUAUGAUAUGUAUGUUGGCACUGCUAUAUAUGUUUAUGCACAGAUCCUUGGCUACUCAGAAUUGUUUGCCUGCAUUCUGAUAUUUGAACAUCAGAUAGUUGGACAGUUAAGAUGAGGUUUUCUUAUAUCAACAAUUUGUUUGGAAGUUUUGGUAUAGUAGUGGGACUCGCAAAUUCAAUUUGUUGGUUUUGACUUGUGAAGGUGACAAUUUACAACAUACUGAUUUUGCAAACAUCACACAAGAAUAAUCAUUGUUGAUAAUAGUAUAACACACAUCCAAACUUUGUUAUUGUGACAUUAUUUCAACACGCAUGAUCCGAGUCAACCAAAGAAACAUGAAAGGAAAGACCAGGUUUUAAUGAUUCUUUCUCAUGUACUUGCAAUCUUCUAGUACUGAUGUACACGUAUCAAAAUAGUACGUAUAUGUUUAAGUCAAAUAUACACGUAUCAAAAUAGUACGUAUAUGCUUUAAGUCAACAGCAACACACGAGGUAUUUCCUUGCCUUCAACUAAUCCUUUGCAAGGAGCUACAAGCUUACAAAAUUUACUAGUAGGUGUGUGAAAUAUUCUUUAAAUACUACGCCAUCAUCCUCCCAAAAAAGCAGCAAUAACUGCUAGUAUAACUUUAACUAAUCAAAGAAUCCAUAGAUUUGGCGGACUCUCCCAAUAUACACAGUCAAAUUUACUUGCACGACCCAACGAAUGCAAAAUCCCUUGUCCAGGUGGUGAUUUUCCCAGCUCCUAUCGUCAUUAUCUCUUCUGGAAGUUGAACUUCAUGAUGGCAAAGCCAAAUAGGGCCGCAAAGAGCACAGCGAAUGCUACCACCACGGCUGCCACCCACCCCAACCAGCUGUGCUUGAAGCCGAAGUAGUCCUCAACGUACUGUGACACCACCACAGUCCUGUUGUUGUCGUCCAUCUCUGUCAUGAUGUCACCGAACUGUGACACCACCAGCCCGUACAGCGUCCAUGCCACGGGGCAUAUCCAACAGUACCACCUCCACCAGAUCGGUGUUUUCUGAAGGUAGCGGGAGGCAAGAACAGGAAUGAGCUUUGCUGCUUUGGAAAUGGUAGACAAAAGUUGCAGGGGGCAUGAUGAGGUCUUACCGGUCGGGGGAUGAUGAACCCAGAGAAGAGGUUCCAGAUGGCAUAGAAUGCCGAGGAGACGAUCGAGGCGAUGUGAUAGUUAGGUGUUAGCCCAACAGCCAUCAUGCCAUAGAAUGUGAAGUAGAGCAGCGUGAAGUACCCAAAGAAGAGGUACCAAAAGAACUUGGCAGCCGUCCACUCAAACCCGAUCAUGGCGUACACUAUGACACCAUAUAGAAUAUCCUGAACCAGUGCGUAUGGGAGCUCAAUGACAACCUGCGUGGAGACAAAUUGAUCAGACCAGUGCCCUGCUCUCUAGAACAUGGGCCAACAGGCAACAAGCAGCAGAAAAAGCAGCGUAUGAAAUUGAUCUCCAGGAGGAACAUUCAC